UUCAAGUGGCUGCAAACCUAAUGAGAUGAGUCCAUAAAAAGGAAGGAAGAAGAGCCUGUGAGAAGGGUCUGACCUACCCUUGCUGGUUUUGAAGAUAGUAAAAUGAAUACAGCAGCAGAAUAAACAAAAAUCAUGACAUAUGUCACUGUAGGCCACCCCCUUGGUUCCUGAGCAAGUAUGCAUGUGUGCACAUACACAAGAACGGUCAUAGGCUCCUGCGUGCCAGGCCAGGGCACUGUGCUGCAUCAUUCUCCCCAACGCUGUGUGGAUGCCUAUCAAUUGAUUCUGGCUGUAAACAAACAUUUUCCUCUGAAUCUUGCCGUUCUUCCUGCCCUGUCUCCAGACCUUUAAUCCCGGCUCCAAGCAGUGGGAACAGAGAGCUGAGGUAGCACAAACACCCCCAGGAACUCUGCUCAGCCCCCAAGCCAUGAAGAAGUGAGAACUUGCACCAGGAGCAAACACAGCAAAAGGGGUUUGUGAGGGUGCAGGAUUCUCUGCUCCCUAAGUGGCCCUGGUCCCUGGCCUCGGGAAGGAGCACAUCUUUACAAUCUCAAUACACCUUUCCAGCUGGUGGCUGUCUGCUGUCAUAUUAGUAGUACUGAA
rnacentral:lncRNA from 1 species